rnacentral:lncRNA from 10 species
AAUGGACUCUAGGUGUCCAAGUGAAAGGCAGAGUCACAUAUCUCUCAUGUGAAUCAAAAGCUAGAAAUGAUUGAGCUUAGUGAGGAAGGCAUAUUGAAAGCAAAAACAGACCAAAAGCUGGGCCUCUUAUGCCAAACACUGAGCCAAGUUGUGAAUGCAAAGGAAAAAUCCUUGAAGGAUAUCAAAAACUCUAUUCCAGUGAACACAGAAUUAAUUUAAAAAAAAAAAAGAGAGAGAGAGAGAGAGAAACAGUCAUAUUUCUGAUAUGGAGAAAGUUUGAGUGUUCUGGAUAGAAUCAAACUAACCAUGAUGUUCCCUGAGCCAAAUCCUAACCCAGAGUGAGGUGCUAACUCUCUUUAAUUCUGUGAAGCCUGACAGAGGUGAGGAUGCUGCAGAAGAAAAGUCUGACGUUAGCAGAGGUUGGUUUGUGAGGUUUAAGGAAAGAGGCUGUUUCCAUAACAUAAAAGUGUAAGAUAAAGCAGCAGAUGUUGAUGUAGAAACUGCAGCAAGUUAUCCAAAAGAUCUAGCUAAGAUAAUUGAUGAAGGUGGCUACACUAAAAAAUAGAUUUUCAAUGUAAAUGAAAGAGGCUUAAAUUGAAAUAUUGGAAAAAUAUGCCAUUUUGAACUUUGAUAGGUAGAGAGAAAUCAAUGUCUGGCUUUAAAUCUUCAAAGGACAGGCUUACUCUCUUUUUAGGAGCUUAUGCAACUGGUGAACCUAAAUUUAAGCAAAUGCUCAUUGCUCAUUCCUAAAAUCAAAGGGCCCUUAAAAAUUAUGCUCAAUCUACUCUGCCUGUGCUCUACAAGUGGAAUUUAAAAAUAGGCCUGGAUGACAGCACAUCUGUGUCUAUAGUAUUUAUUUAUUUAUUUAGAUACAGGAUCUUGCUCUGUCACCCAGGCUAGAGUGUGGUGGCAUUAUCAUAGCUUAUAAGAUCACUGCAGUCAUCCCAUCUUGGCCUCCCAAGUAGUUAGGAUUAUAGGUACAUACCACCACAUCCAGCUAUUUUUUUUUUUUUUUUUUUUUUUUUAGGGAUGGGAUCUUGCUAGAUUGCUCAGGCUGGUCUCAAACUCCUGGCCUCAAAUGGUCCUCCCACCUUGGUCUCCAAAACUCCUGGGAUUACAGGUAUGAGCCACCACACCCAGCCUACACCCAGCCUACAGCAAGCCUAUGGUUUGCUGCAUAUUUUAAGCCCACCGUUGAGACCGACUGUUCAGAAAAAAAAGAUUCCCUAACACGGCUCACUGCUCACUGACAAUACAUCUAGUCGCCCAAGAGCUCUGAUGGAUAUGUACAAGGAAAUUAAUGCUGUUUUCAUGACUGAUAUCAAGGCAUCCAUUCUGCAGCCCAUGCUUCAAAGAGUAUUUUCAACUUUCAAGUCUCAUUAUUUAAGAAAUAUAUUUCCUAAGUCUAUAGCUGCCAUAGAUAGUGAUUCCUCUGCUGGAUCUGGGCAAAAUAAAUUUUAAACCUUCUGGAAAGAAUUCACCAUCCAAGAUGUCAUUAAGAACAUCUGUGAUUCAUGGGAUGUCAAAAUAUCAACAUUACACAAGUCUGGAAGAAGUAUUCCAACUUUCAUGGAUGACUGUGAGGGGUUCAAGACUUUAGUGGAGGAAGUAACUACACAUGUGGUAGAAAUAGCAAGAGAACUAGAAUUAGAAAUGGAGCCUGAAGAUGUAACUGAAUUGCUGCAAUAUCAUGAUGCAACUUGAGAGCAGAGAGUCAUUUCUUAAGAUGGAAUCUACUCAUAGUGAAGAUGCUGUGAACAUUGUUGAAAUGAGAACAUGAAGAUUUUGAAUAUUUCAUAAACUUAGUUGCAAAAGCAGCAGCACUGGCAGUGUUUGAGAAUACUGACUUCAAUUUUGAGAGAAAUUCCAGUGUGGGUAAAAUGUAUCAAAUAACAUUAUGUGCUUCAGAGAAAUAUUUUAUGAAAAAAAGUCAAUCAAUGUGGGAAACCUCAUUGUUGUCUUAUUUUAAGAAAUUGCCACAGCCAUUCCAACCUUCGGUAAACACUGCCCUGAUAAGCCAGUUGCCAUCAAUAUUGAGGCGGAACUUAGACCAGCAAAAAGAUCAGGA